rnacentral:misc_RNA from 1 species
AUAUAUAUCAAUCUCAUCAGCUUCUGCUUGUUGAGUUUGGAAGUGGGGGGUCUUUUUUGCUGGCUUCUUUUCUGGAGUCAGCUCCCCUGAAAUUCAUUAGCGGAACAACUUGUUGACCGUUCAUUGGUGUGAUAACUAUCUACGCUAUUGACGUGAAGCACGUUCAGCUUCUAACCGUCCAUUGACUUGGACAAAUUUUCAUUA